GAAAUCUGUACGUUUUUUAAUGUUGUGUAUGUCAAGCAAAAGUGUUAAAGACAGAUCGUUCAUCAGCACUAAUAACAACCCAGAAGUCUUGAUAUUGCAGCAGUGCAGUGGAAGUAUAGAAUAUGGAGUGUUGUUAACAGUAUUGCUUCAACUUGAUCAGGAGCACAAGUACAAAUAGACUAAAGAGUUCUGGAGAUUUUCCAAGGGCCAGAGGCAAGAGAUAAUAUGUAAACCCAUGGCUUAAUUAUGAACCAAGCUACAUGCAUACUGUUGCAAAAGGAUGUCAACAAGGAUGUUGAUGUCAGGGUAUUGCAAACAAACUCAGAUCRAAUGUCUGAUUUUGUGGUAGGAAAUAUAUUUUUAUGAAUAAUGGUUCACAAAUACAUUUUAAAAAUUAAUGAAAGAUAAAUCGUUUCCAGUCACCGGUUAUAUAUCAAUAUUAUGAUGAUUAUGUUACAAAGCAUAGGAAUCAUAGAGUUUUUUAUGAAAUAAAUUUUCUUGAAUUACAUUAUGGUCAAAUUUGGACACAUACUACAACAUGUCCAACCUCAAUCUUGAAAACAUUGCUUCAAUUUUGGUCCUUUGAGCAAGUAUUUGGCAAAGUUCUAAGAGCACGUUUAGCAUAAAAUAUGUUAGGUUUUUUAAAAAUAGGAAAAAAAAGUUGAAAGGGGAAAAUAAAUGGGAAAGGGAAAAAUAAUUUGGAUAUAACUAUUAAUAGAAGUGUAUGUUAGGAUUGAAAGUAAUUCCCCUAACUAAAUUAAGUGUACAUAAGCCACAGCUAAACCCUCAAAAUAAUUGUUUAAUAUAAUAAGUUUAAUAU